UUCUCGAUAGGUGAAGAACUCUGGAAUGAGUCUUUGCCAAAAAGACGUUUACGUUAUGCUCGUAGACGUCGCCCAAGGAUGAGGCCGCGACCGAUCAGGUUGUUGGUGAGGUAAUGGCUCACCAAGCCUUUUACCGGUGCGGGCCGUGAGAGCGGGAGCCCGGAGAUGGGCACUGAGACAAGGGCCCAGGCCCUACGGGGCGCAGCAGUCGCGAAAACUUUGCAAUACACGAAAGUGUGACAGGGCUAUCCCGAGUGCCAUCCGCUGAGGAAGGCUUUUACCCAGUCUAGAACGCUGGGGGAAUAAGGAGAGGGCAAGUCUGGUGUCAGCCGCCGCGGUAAUACCAGCUCUCCGAGUGGUGUGGAUGUUUAUUGGGCCUAAAGCAUCCGUAGCUGGCUGAGUUAGUCCCUUGUUAAAUCCACCGAAUUAAUCGUUGGAUUGCGGGGGAUACUGCUCGGCUAGGGGACGAGAGAGGCAGACGGUAUUUCUGGGGUAGGGGUGAAAUCCUAUAAUCCCAGGAGGACCACCAGUGGCGAAGGCUGUCUGCUAGAACGCGCCCGACGGUGAGGGAUGAAAGCUGGGGGAGCGAACCGGAUUAGAUACCCGGGUAGUCCCAGCUGUAAACGAUGCAGACUAGGUGUUUGGACGGCCACGUGCCGUUCUAGUGCCGCAGGGAAGCUGUUAAGUCUGCCGCCUGGG
rnacentral:rRNA from 1 species